rnacentral:ncRNA from 1 species
AAAAAAGUUAUGAUUAGAAGUAGUAAAAGUAGGUUCCAGUAACAGAGAGUUAUCGGUAGGUGGAAGAUAAUCUGGGAAGCUUUGAACUCGUCUAUGAACUCUGAGGUUGAACAUAAGUAGACCUUAGCGGGAAUUCCCGUUAUAGAAUUUAAGUGCAGGGUUAGCCCUGAAUUAGAGUGGUACCGCGGUAGGUUUAUCCUUUCGUCUCUUUA